rnacentral:lncRNA from 1 species
GGGACAGCAGCUAAAGUCUAAGGUGUAUGGCUUGUAGUGGCUCAGAGAGAGAGGGGACCUUCUAUAGAGUUGAUUGAGAGCCUUUUGUGAGAGUUUUAUCUUCUUAUUGAGAGAGAGAUAUUGAUGUAUGAGAGUUGAGAGGGUAUGAUCUCCUCUUAUAUUUAUUUUCUUUCAUUGUGAAGUUUGCAUAUCCCGUGGAAGUAAGUCU